GGGGGUGAAUUGGGUCUUUUAAAACCUUUUAAACUACUUCUAAUCUUUUAGAUUAAUUAUGCUAAGUUGUAUGGAUGCUUAGUGAAGCUUAACCUUAGCAAGAGUAUGAUUCUAAUCUAAUCAACUAUUAAGCAGCAUGUUCAAUAAAAGAUUAGUCUAGUUUUGCCCUAGUAUGCUAUUCAAUUUAAUGAUUGAGUAAAUU
rnacentral:lncRNA from 1 species